GGGUGAUUAGCUCAGCUGGGAGAGCACCUCCCUUCAAGGAGGGGGUCGGCGGUUCGAUCCCGUCAUCACCCACCA
rnacentral:tRNA from 1 species